GCCAGCGGCUAUAGCACUUUGAAUAUAGAAGUUUCCAGUGGAUCACUGAAGUUGAGCAACGUUGCGCGUGAUUAGUAUCAGGAUGGGUGACUUUUUGGACAAUCGCGUGCUGCUGACU
rnacentral:rRNA from 1 species